rnacentral:rRNA from 1 species
UACGUAGGGAGCAAGCGUUGUCCGGAAUCAUUGGGCGUAAAGCGCGCGUAGGUGGCCCCAUAAGUCCGCUGUGAAAGUCAAAGGCUCAACCUUUGAAAGCCGGUGGAUACUGUCGGGACUAGAGUACGGAAGAGGCGAGUGGAAUUCCUGGUGUAGCGGUGGAAUGCGCAGAUAGUCAGGAGGAACACCAAUAGCGAAGGCAGCUCGCUGGGACGUUACUGACACUGAGGCGCGAAAGCGUGGGGAGCGAACCGG